rnacentral:RNase_P_RNA from 1 species
CGGGAUGCUCAGGCAAUCGCGCGACGCAAACACGUCUCGAGGAAAGUCCGGGCUCCACAGCACAGGAUGGUGGAUAACAUCCACUCAGGGCAACCUGCAGGCCAGUGCCACAGAAAACAAACCGCCCACCGGAUCACGGUAGGUAAGGGUGAAAAGGUAGUGUAAGAGACUACCAGUACCCCAAGCGAUUGAGGUAGCUCGGUAAACCCCAUCCGGAGCAAGGUCAAACAGAGCAUGCUCGAAGGUAGUGCGCCUAAUAUGCUCGGGUAGACCGCUUGAACCCCACAGCAAUGUCGGGUCUAGAUGGAUGAUUGCCCCCACCCUUCACAGAAGGUGGCGACAGAACCCGGCUCAUCGAGCAUCCCGUGUU